AACGAACGCUGGCGGCAUGCCUAACACAUGCAAGUCGAACGAGAUCUUCGGGUCUAGUGGCGCACGGGUGCGUAACGCGUGGGAAUUUGCCCUUUGGUUCGGAAUAACAGUUGGAAACGUCUGCUAAUACCGGAUGAUGACGAAAGUCCAAAGAUUUAUCGCCAGAGGAUGAGCCCGCGUAGGAUUAGCUAGUUGGUGUGGUAAAGGCGCACCAAGGCGACGAUCCUUAGCUGGUCUGAGAGGAUGAUCAGCCACACUGGGACUGAGACACGGCCCAGACUCCUACGUGAGGCAGCAGUGGGGAAUAUUGGACAAUGGGCGAAAGCCUGAUCCAGCAAUGCCGCGUGAGUGAUGAAGGCCUUAGGGUUGUAAAGCUCUUUUACCCGGGAUGAUAAUGACAGUACCGGGAGAAUAAGCUCCGGCUAACUCCGUGCCAGCCGCCGCGGUAA
rnacentral:rRNA from 1 species